UAAAAAUAAGAAGACAGUCAAGAAGAAAACUGCAAAGGAUGAGGGGACGCCCCAUAGGCUCUGUGAUGCAAGUGCCAAGCAAGAUGCUGUGAAGAAAGCUGCUGCUGCUGCUGCAGAAGCUGCCGCUGCUGCCGCUGGCAGCAGCAGUCAAAAUAACCGAUCUCCUGAUUGCAGCUCGGAUGAGG